rnacentral:rRNA from 1 species
GAAACUUCGGUGGAUUUAAUUUAUUUCUAGUGGCGGACGGGUGAGUAACGCGUGGGUAACCUGCCUUAUACUGGGGGAUAACAGCCAGAAAUGACUGCUAAUACCGCAUAAGCGCACAGAACCGCAUGGUUCCGUGUGAAAAACUCCGGUGGUAUAAGAUGGACCCGCGUUGGAUUAGCUAGUUGGCAGGGCAGCGGCCUACCAAGGCGACGAUCCAUAGCCGGCCUGAGAGGGUGAACGGCCACAUUGGGACUGAGACACGGCCCAGACUCCUACGGGAGGCAGCAGUGGGGAAUAUUGCACAAUGGGGGAAACCCUGAUGCAGCGACGCCGCGUGAAGGAAGAAGUAUCUCGGUAUGUAAACUUCUAUCAGCAGGGAAGAUAAUGACGGUACCUGACUAAGAAGCCCCGGCUAACUACGUGCCAGCAGCCGCGGUAAUACGUAGGGGGCAAGCGUUAUCCGGAUUUACUGGGUGUAAAGGGAGCGUAGACGGCGCAGCAAGUCUGAUGUGAAAGGCAGGGGCUUAACCCCUGGACUGCAUUGGAAACUGCUGUGCUUGAGUGCCGGAGGGGUAAGCGGAAUUCCUAGUGUAGCGGUGAAAUGCGUAG